UACGGAGGGUGCAAGCGUUGUCCGGAUUCACUGGGUUUAAAGGGUGCGUAGGUGGGCAGGUAAGUCAGUGGUGAAAUCUCCGGGCUUAACCCGGAAACUGCCAUUGAUACUAUCUGUCUUGAAUACCGUGGAGGUGAGCGGAAUAUGUCAUGUAGCGGUGAAAUGCUUAGAUAUGACAUAGAACACCCAUUGCGAAGGCAGCUAACUACGCGAUAAUUGACGCUGAUGCACGAAAGCGUGGGGAUCAAACAGG
rnacentral:rRNA from 1 species